rnacentral:rRNA from 2 species
CUACGGGAGGCAGCAGUAGGGAAUCUUCCACAAUGGACGCAAGUCUGAUGGAGCAACGCCGCGUGAGUGAAGAAGGUCUUCGGAUCGUAAAACUCUGUUGUUAGAGAAGAACACGAGUGAGAGUAACUGUUCAUUCGAUGACGGUAUCUAACCAGCAAGUCACGGCUAACUACGUGCCAGCAGCCGCGGUAAUACGGAGGGUGCCAGCAGCCGCGGUAAU